GGAUUCAUGGUUAUCUCAAUGCAGAAAACUAAACAGGUUACUGAGGAAGCUCUUGCUGCACCUCUUGAUGAUCCAAAGAAUGUUGUUUCGGACCACGGUAAACCCAAUAGGUAUGUGCUCAUAGCCAGUGCCAUUAACCAGUUUCUAGUAAAAUGUAUGUCUGCUGCUCCACUUGGUGUAGGAAGUGUUCUUGUUCCUUUAGCUUGUAUGUUUUAUACUCCAGGGCACGACCUUUUCCUUUCUCGCAAUAAUGAUCUCAUUUAUCUUAUGUUUUCCUACUUAUAGCUAAUGUAUGUUGGCUGAUUAGCAGCGCAAUUAAAUGAAGCGAUAUACCUUUUUUAUGUUGUCUUACCAAGCUCUUAUAUUCAUGUUUCCUUUAUUCCACUUUACGCCUCUAGGUUAAUUAUACAAAAAACAAAAAUAUAGGUUGCCAUGUAUUUCUGCUGAUAAUUCUGUCUCAGGGUCAGUGCUUGUGGAAAAGGCAACACUGCUCCAAAGAAACCAAAGUGUCAUGCGCCACAUGGUUCUGGAGCGUCAUCUUCUGUUGAGGAUACAGGCAAGGCACUACCUGUGCUUCCGACUUUCCCUGUAGUGCCAGCAACCACACCUUCUACAUUACCUUUGGAUGAGGUAUGCAUGAUGUUGUUGCUUGAUGUUCAGUUUACUUCGCAUGAUCUAACUUUUAUACUAAAUAAUAUUGUACUAUAUAAGUUUCAUAGCUGAACACUCCUAUCUCUGCCUUCAAAGGGAAAGGUGAGGCUCAUAUGCCUAAAACACCCAGGCACCAACCCCUCAUUUGUCCUUUGCUAUGUUUUCUAGGCUCUCUUUCUUUACAAAUGUCUGAUGCACUUCCACAUGUCAAUGUAGAAAAUCUCGCAAUAAUGAUCUCAUUUAUCUUAUGUUUUCCUACUUAUAGCUAAUGUAUGUUGGCUGAUUAGCAGUGCAAUUAAAUGAAGCGAUAUACCUUUUUUAUGUUGUCUUACCAAGCUCUUAUAUUCAUGUUUCCUUUAUUCCAC
rnacentral:lncRNA from 1 species